rnacentral:tRNA from 1 species
GGAGGGGUGACAGAGCGGCUUAACGUACCACCUUGGAAAGGUGGCGUAGGGGCAACCCUACCGGGAGUUCGAAUCUCCCCCCCUCCG